UCCAGGGGCUGCAUCUGACCAGGAACAAUUGAUGGAAGCAUGUGACGGGGGAGAGGUGGGAGAAGAAGAUUCGGACUUGACUCAGGUGGAUGAAAUCACGGAGGAGCAUGAGGACGGCAGUCGUCCAAAUGUGGUCGCUGAAAAUCAGCCCGUUGAAACCGCACCAAAAACCACG